GAAGUCAUUUGUGAAUGUCUCUCAGUCUCUUAAAGACAAAAAAUACUGACUAAUGCUCUUUGUCGGCAGUGCGAAUAAAUUUCCAUCAUAUUAGCAAAUGCACAAAAACUGGAGUAUACAUAUAUUUUUGUAAUAGCCCUAUUCAACUAGAUGCUACUAUAAUUACGUGAUACACAGAAAAAGUCUCAGCCACUUUCAAUCUGCUAUUUUACGAUUAAUUUCUUCCAACGGUGCCAAAGUAGCACAGAAUAUUUCGCCGACACAACGUAGAACAGGGACGACAUGAUAUCUUUCGUGUAAGAUAUUCACUUUUAUUGAUGAUUGACCAGCCACUUUACGAAACAAGUGACGAUUUAUAAUACGUAAUCAAUAAAUAUAAAUACAAACUUGUUUCUUUUU